GAUGAACGCUGGCGGCAGGCCUAACACAUGCAAGUCGAACGCUCUCUUCGGAGGGAGUGGCAGACGGGUGAGUAACACGUGGGAACCUACCCCUUGGUACGGAAUAACUGAUGGAAACGUUAGCUAAUACCGUAUGAGCGCUGAGGCGGAAAGAGUUAUCGCCAAGGGAUGGGCCCGCGUAGGAUUAGCUAGUUGGUGGGGUAAAGGCCUACCAAGGCGACGCUCCUUAGCUGGUCUGAGAGGAUGAUCAGCCACACUGGGACUGAGACACGGCCCAGACUCCUACGGGAGGCAGCAGUGGGGAAUAUUGGACAAUGGGCGCAAGCCUGAUCCAGCCAUGCCGCGUGAGUGAUGAAGGCCUUAGGGUUGUAAAGCUCUUUCACCUGGGAAGAUAAUGACGGUACCAGGAGAAGAAGCCCCGGCUAACUUCGUGCCAGCCGCCGCAGUAAAAC
rnacentral:rRNA from 1 species